rnacentral:rRNA from 1 species
CAAGUCGAACGAAUCCCUCUGUUGUAGCAAUACAGUGGAGGGGGAAGUGGCGAAAGGGGCAGUAAUGUAUGGGUAACCUACCCGGGGGUCGUGGAUAGCCUUCCUAACGGAUGGGUAAUACACGGCGAUUCAGCGAGGCGGCAUCACCUUGCUGGGAAAGAAUUUCGCCUCCGGAGGGGCUCAUAUCGUAUUAGCUAGUUGGUGAGGUAACGGCUCACCAAGGCAAAGAUGCGUAGCGGGUGUGAGAGCACGACCCGCGCCACUGGCACUGAGACACUGGCCAGACACCUACGGGUGGCUGCAGUCGAGGAUCUUCGGCAAUGGGCGCAAGCCUGACCGAGCGACGCCGCGUGGAGGAUGAAGGCCUUCGGGUUGUAAACUCCUGUCGAGGGGGAUCAAUGUCGCAAGACUUGAGUGAUCCCUGGAGGAAGCACGGGCUAAGUUCGUGCCAGCAGCCGCGGUAAGACGAACCGUGCGAACGUUGUUCGGAAUCACUGGGCAUAAAGGGCGCGUAGGCGGCUUUUCAAGUCAGGGGUGAAAUCCGGCAGCUUAACUGUCGAAGUGCCCUUGAUACUGACGAGCUCGAGGGAGGUAGGGGUGUGUGGAACUUCCGGUGGAGCGGUGAAAUGCGUUGAUAUCGGAAGGAACGCCGGUGGCGAAAGCGACGCACUGGACCUCUUCUGACGCUGAGGCGCGAAAGCCAUGGG